CUCCAGAUGUUGCUGAACUACAACUCCCCUGAUGCUAUGAAUGAAAUAGACUGAGAAUCAUGGGAGUUGUAGUUCAGCAAUAUCUGGAG
rnacentral:miRNA from 1 species